rnacentral:lncRNA from 1 species
AGCAAAAUAAAAAACAUCUCAUUUGUUUAUGGGCACAUAUUCCAACAAAAUCUGCUUUUAUGCAUUGCCAAUCCAGACACUAAAAUACAACCCUCAGAGCUUACUGCAAAUAUUCAACUAGUACUAGGAAAGACGAGCUUUUGCGCAUGAUAUAGCUAAGCAUAAGUACUAAUUAACAUAUAGGCAAGAGGGAAAGUGAGGAAGGAAAGCAGAUAUAGAUUUUUUUGCCUUUUAAACUGUGAUAGCAUCUAGCAUUUUUUUUAAGAGAAGAAAUAGUAUAAUUUAAUUGAGUACUCGUAAAACCUUCUUUUCUUAUUGGACAUGGUUUCAAUAAAACCCAUUUGGUUGCCAAGAAAUCUGAGGAAAUUCCCUUAAUUCUAAGGGUUCAAGAACAAGCCGAGUCCAGCACGACUCGGCCGAGUCGUAUAAACUCAUACUCAAUCAGGAAUCGCUUAAACUCGGUUAACUCAACGGAGAUUCCGAGUUGACUCGGUUGAACCGUUUGUGUUAACAAAAGAAAUCGUUUUUUCACUUUCGAAUCACAGCAGAGGAACAACAAACGAGAUGUAAACCUAAAAAACCUCUCAAAAAUCAAAGAUUGUCUUCAAAAGGAAAAGCUUCUCAACAACCAUGAUGAAGAGGAAGAAAGGCAUCAGUCUAAACCAUGACCGAGUCUUGGAGGUGCACAAGAAGAAGAGGUUGAGGUAUUACUAACUUCAGAACGAUCAUGGAUGUGGAGCGCCUUCGAUGGUCCCGGUGUGGUAACUGGUGUGAUGAGAAGAUUCCCUCCAUUGACGUGAGCGGCCAUCGCUGCAUCUGGUCUCUCCUCUCUCUAAUUUUGGUCUCAGUUCUCGCCUGCUUCUGUCUGCCUUCCUCCCUCUCUCUCUCUCUCUCUCUUUCUCCCUAGUACGGGUGAGUUAGUGAUUUGAAGAAAGGGUGGCAAUCGGUGCCAGAAAAUUGGGGAUUUGAAGACAGGGUGGUCAAUGUUUUAAUAUCACAAUUAUUUAUAAUUGUAUAUGUUAAUAUUAGGUAAUAUAUUAUCAAAUUUUAUAGUCUUUGUUUUUUUUAUGAUAAUAAUUUAUUAUUUUAUAUAUUAAUGGUGUGAUAUAAAUUAUAUUAGCUUAAGUAAAGUAUUAUUUUAUAUGGCAAUGAUAGCAUAUUUGAUGUAUUAAUUUAUUAUUAACAAUAUAUUCAAGUCAUUUAAUAUAUUAUUAUAUUAACAUAUUAAAAUCAUUUAAUUAAUAAUAUAUACUUUGUUUAAUAAAUAUAAUUUUAUAUUAUAUUUAAACAUAAAGUGUUGUAAUCAUUUAAUCAAAAUUAAAAAUAAAAUUAAUGAUUGAAUUAUAUGUCUUUUAGUAAAAAUAUCAUUAUAGUUGAAAUAAAAUAAUUUUCAAUUCCUAACAUUAUCAUAAAUUGUUUUUGUGGAGACUUUAUAACUAUUUAAAUAAUAUUAAAUGUGAAAAAAUUUAUUUUAUAAUUUUUAAGCUUAUUUAAUUAUAUUUGUUUUUGUAAAAAAUUUCAAAAUUUUUUUCUAAUUUAAAAAUUUUUUAGUUAUCUUAUUUUGCAUACCACUUGAUACCAAAUCGAGAUGUUGAGACCGUUAUGCCUUGGGACCCUCCAAAUUAAUGAUUGAUAUCGUCACUUCAAUUAUAUGAAUAUAAAAAAUAAAUAUGUAAAGAAAUACCAUAAGACAUAAUAAUAGUAUUUUAAAAUAUUUUUAGCAUAUUGAUAUAAAUAUAUAUAUAUAUAUAUAAUUAUUUAAUAGUUAUUACUUAUAUUUAAUGGUUUAAAAUAUUUUUUAGUUUUUAAUUAGUAUAUUUUUUGUAUCAAUCAAUAUCGCUUUGACAUCUUAGAUUUAAAUAAUGAAAAUAGUAUCAAUUUUUCAAAAAAAAAGAAAGAAAAAGGAAAUGAUCUUUUAAGGUUAAAGUAUUAAUCUUUAGGUUUAGAUGUUCCCAAACCUUCAAUUCUAAGUGUUGAAGACGACUUCGAAGUUGUUGGAAGUCUUGUAAAUCUACGAUUUUCUAUCUGAUGAUUUGAACCUUGAUCUUAAUGCACUUUUAGUGGAGAUCGAUGGAAGAAAGGGUGGAAACUAUGAGUCUUUCUCUUUGAAGGUGGAAGAUGACUUUCUACAAAAAGUUAUGGAAACUUUAACCCCAAGAUCGAUGUACCUUAAAACCUUUCAAGUCAAUGACCCAUACCGUAACUUUCAACCAUAAGAUGGACACUAAAAAAAAAAAGAAUUAGAGUUGGAUUUGAACACAAACAUCUUUCAAAGAAGAGAAUGUACCUAUCAUUAUGGAAAAUUAUUAUUAAAUUUGGGUGGCAAAAUAUAUCUCCUAUAUUUUAACCCCUACCAUAAGUGACUUUGUGUAAGCGUAAAAAGAAGAACUAUAGAAAAGAUGCCUUAGGUAUUUGCUGAUUAUGAACUAUAUCUAGUAAAAGAUCAUACACGAUGUCCGAAAAACUAUAGAAGAAGAUAAAUCUUGAAGGGAAGAUCAAUGGAAAUGGGUCUAUGACUCGCCACUCCAUGAUUUAUGGGCUGCUUAAACUCUGAUGAUGGGUUAUGGGUAGCAUGAAAAUUUCAGCCAGAGGGUGGUCUGUCAAUCUUGCUUGUUUCUUCAUGUUUUCACUUGGAAUUUGCUAAUGCAUUUAUAGACACAAUCUUACAAGGUCAGUCAAUCACAACUUCUCAAACCAUCGUAUCUGUUGGUGGUGACUUUGAAUUAGGAUUCUUUUCUCUUGGAAACUCCACAAAAUACUAUGUGGGGAUAUGGUACAAGAAAGUGUCAGAGCAAACCAUUGUGUGGGUAGCUAACCGAGGUUAUUCAUUCACAAAUCUAUAUGUGGUUCUUACUAUUAUCCCAGAUGGUAACCUCGAGAUUUGGGAAGGGAAAAUUUCAUACAAGGUGACAAACGUAUCAUUAAAUAGAAACACCGGUGCCACCCUGUUGGAUUCAGGAAAUUUUGUUUUGAGAAAUGAGAAGUCGAAUAUCUUAUGGUAGAGCUUUGACUAUCUAUUGGACAUGAUCUUGCCCAGAAUGAACAUUGGAUAUGACAGAAGGGCUGGAAAAACAUGGUCAUUGGUGUCAUGGAAGAGCACAGAAGAUCCUAGUCCAGGAGUUUUUAUUAGAGAAUUCAUUAUAAUAGAUUUUCUUAUUAGCUUUUUUCCUAUAAUGUGUGGCCAUAUACAAUUAUAUUUGUAUGAAUAUUAUUUAAGGGUAUCAAUUGAUCGGUAGGUGAAUCAAUUGAUUGGGUAUCUAAGAGUCUUAUGUAUGGAAGACUCAAAUUUAUAAAUAGGGAGUUAGAAAAUUUAACUCAUAUGAAUGUGGUGUUACAACUUUUGUAACCCCAUCAUUAUGAAAUUUAUUUGUACAUUAUGUUUAUGAGUAAUAGAGGAAAAUGGAAAAGUAUAACCUAUGCAAUUAUAUAGAUGCAUUCAAGUUCAUACCCCACCAUUACCCAUUAAUUUGUACAUAAUGGGUGUAAAUAAUGAGUAUAACUCCCAUAUAGUCUUUGAUGGGAAGACUAAGAGAUGUAUAAUUUUUUUUAUAAAUUGAGGUCCUAAGCCACACUCUCAUUCUUAUGUCUUUUUGUUGGUUUAUUUUUAACAACAUACACCACACAAGUGACCCAUCCACUAUAUGAGAGUAGUGAGUCGAAGACCUUGCCAAUCCAAUUCACAAGGUAACUCAAUCUCACUUCAAAAGUGUUAUUGAUAUCAUGAAUCAAGGUAAGAAUAUGAUCAUUAUUUGAAUACUUAUAUAUAUAUAUUUUUUUUAUGCAUCCAAAAUGGUUUUAUAAAAUAAUAAUUUCCACAUAAAGUUUAUAAAAGUUUGGUUGACAUUUCUUUCUAUUUUUAAAUUCUUCUAAUUAGUUGUAAUUUCCUAUUUUUUUUUGUAAUAUCCUAAUUUUAGGAUUGUUUCUUAUUUUUGUAUUUUGGGUAGAUUGUUUCCUAUUUUUGUGUUUUAGGUUUUGUGUAUAUAUAUUCAUUCUUAAUCAAUGGAAAAGUCAAGCCAUUGUUUCUCAAUAAUCUUCUACUUCAACAUGGUAUCAAGAGCCUAAUUUUCUUUGGUGUAUUUUCUUCCUUUUUUUUUUCCCUUUUCCUUAAUGGCUUCCAGUGCAUCCUUCUCUUCCACCAACAAUCCUAUCACCAUCCAAAACUCUCAAGAUCCUCAAAAUCCUCUCCUUACAAUCAAUCUCUCCAAUAUCACCAAAUUGUCAUCCAUCAAUUAUCUCACAGGGAGCCUUCAAAUCCAAUCCUUCUUGAAGGUUAUAAUCUUCAUCACUUCAUUGAUGGCGCUCAUACUCCACCACCACCCACCGUCACCGUCACCAUCACUUGUGUUGCAUCCCCAAAUCUAGUAUACACAACCUGGAAGCGUCAGGAUCGUCUCAUCUUUAACGCUCUCCUUGGUGCUAUCUUCGUUUCACUACAACCGCUUAUUGUCUGCACCACCACUUCCCUUGAUGCAUGGCAAACCUUAGUUAAUACCUAUGCCAAACCCUUGAUAAUUUUCUCUCCACCAAUGGUAUAUCCCAUCUUACUACACCACAUACACCUGGACACAAUGGCCUUUCCGAAUGACGUCAUUGUCAUAUUGUUGAAACCGGUCUAUUUCUUCUCACUUAUGCAUCGAUAUCUCUAACUUAUUGGACUUACGCCUUUGCCACUAUUGUAUAUCUCAUCAACUGUAUGCCCACACCCACACUAUAUCUCUCAUCUCCUUUUGACCAACUCUUUGAGUCUCCACCCAACUACACUAAACUUUGGGUGUUUGGUUGCUUAUGUUAUUCGUGGCUUUGUCCUUAUUCUCAACAUAAACUUAACUCUCGUUUCACUUCUUGUGUUUUUCUUGGUUACUCUUCCUACACCACCUAUUAUAUAUUGUGACAAUGUUGGUGCCACCUAUCUCUAUUCUAAUCUAGUCUUUCAUUCGCGCAUGAAACAUGUGGCAAUUGACUAUCACUUUAUUCGGGAUCAAGUUCAAUUAUGUGUUCUUCGUGUUACUCAUGUUUCCUCAACAGAUCAACUUGUCGACGCUCUUACUCAACCGCUUCCACAAAGCUUCUUCCAAGAAUUACGGGUCAAGAUUGGCGUCUCCUCCAGAGCUCUAUCUUGAGGGGGCAUAUUAGAGAAUUUAUUACAAUAGAUUUUCUUUCUAUUUUUAAAUUCUUCUAAUUAGUUGUAAUUUCCUAUUUUUGUUGUAAUCCCCUAAUUUUAGGAUUGUUUCCUAUCUUUGUGUUUUGGGCUAAUUCUAGGAUUGUUUCUUAUUUUUGUGUUUUGAGUAGAUUGUUUCUUAUUUUUGUUGGAAUAUGUGCCCAUAAACAAAUGAGAUGUUUUUUAUUUUGCUGAUUAUUAAUAUUUUUUAAGGAAUUAUUUCAAUAUUAUUGUUGCAUGCAUGUUAUAGAUGCUUUAUAAAUAUCGAAAACCCUAGAUUAUUUAAUUGAAACUUUAAAUAUUGUAUAUAAGUGUUAUAUACAAGAGGAUAAUAUUUAAAGUAAAAUAAUCUAAUAUGUUCGUAAUUAAAAAUUAAAGUUGGGAUCUUUAAUUUAAAAUUACUAGCGCGGUUCAUUACAUUCUGAAUGAAAUGAUCUUAUCCGGAUUGUUAAUAAUGAGAUUAUUGGAAUGAAAGCGCUUUAUAUAAUUUGAUUAUAUAGGACUGGAACACGAUUAAUUAUGAAUCUCUGAUAAAUUCCGUUAUAAUAUAGAGCAUUCAAUAUUAAUCAAUGAUGGUCAUAUAUGCAUUGAUCUUAAUUCUGAGUGAUUAAUAGACUCCUAUUUAUUCUAUUGUAUUUUUUGACAUACCGGGUAAUGACACAAAUACAUAGUGUCAAAUUCUUGGUGUAUUGGAAGUAUAAUAAAAUAAAUAGCCGGGAAUAUUAAUAUACAAGAUGAAAUCCAUUCCUUCGUUAAGAAGUCAGAUGGACAGUUCCCAUAAGUAUUGGUUCGGGCCUUGAAUGAUAAGAACGCUCAAUUUAUGAUUAGACCAUAAAUAUAUUAUUCAUUAGAGAACCAAUGGCACUUAAGGAGAAAGAUAUAAUUAAAGAGGUUAACGGAAAAACCUAGCUUUAAUUAUGAACCGUUUAUGGAGGAUUGACUCAUAUGUAGUGACUAUAUCAAUGGGCAAUUCAAAUCCUUUGAAUAUAUUUAAUUUUAUAAUUUUAAGAGUGCAAUUCCAAAUUUUUAGUGGAGUAAUUUUGGAAUUAAUAAUUUUGAUUUUUUAAUUAAGUUGUUAAUUAAUUGUCAAAAUUAUUGGAGCUUAAAAUUAUAAUGUCCAUAGUUCCUCUCAACGGCUCCAUUAAAAUUAUAUGAACAUUUUUUUAUGUUGGGUUGAUUUUAUUAGUUUGGAAUUUUAAAUUCUAAAUUAAUUUCACACAAUCUUGAUUUGAUUUAUUUAUUUUAUAAUUUGAUUAUUUAAAAUAUUUUUUGAUACAAUGUGGUGAAGACCACACUUACUUGUAUUCCCUAAGAAACACCUUUUGAGUGGGGAUCAUGGGGAGAGAUAUUCUCUCCCAUGUUUUUCAAAAUUCAAAGAAACACUUUUUAAGUGGGGAUCAUGGGGAGAGAUAUUCUCUCCCAUGUUUUUCAAAAUUCAAAACAUGUCAGUUAUUUUUUUUUUCUUCGUGGUAUUAAAAUUUUUUUUUUCUCAAUGUUUCUCGGAUGAUGGGAUGAGAAUACAAGUUUUCAAUAUAUAUUAAGUUGUGUGAGAAAAAAAAACAGAAGAAUGAAAAACGCCCACUCGUUUUGAGUUCAUCAUAAUUUGGAGAACGUUAGAGAAAGAUCCAUGGUGCUUUAGAGGAUUUGGAAUUCUAAGAUCCUUUUGGUGAAGUUCAAAUUUAUUAGCCUAAUCGCAAGGUACAAUUCUAAUUUACCUAUAUUUGUUAUUUCAUUAAAUUAAUACAAGUAUUGAUCAUUGAGAAAAAAUUUUGAGAAAAUUUUUUUGGUUUCCGUUUUUUUCUUUUAUUUAUCUGGUUUCAAAACCAACAAUUGGUAUCAGAGCAGGUUGAUACUCUGUAUUAAUUUAAUGAAUGAUUAUUUGAUAAUCUUUGCAUGGCUUUCGGUAGGCACUUUUGCAUAUUGAUGUUUGUUUAUUUUUAUGUUCAUGGUGAUGAAUGUUUGUGGGAAUGGAUUGGCCGUUUUUUUAUUGGUUCCAUGGAUUUUGUUAUUUUUGUAAUAAUUAUUUUAUUAGAUCUUUUGUAAAUAGGAUUCUUGCUGUAAUUCCUAUUUUAUAAGAUUUUUUGUAAAUAGGUUUACUGUUGUAAUUAUAAAUCGGUUUUGGGUUGAAUUUUAUUGAAUUUGAGAAAUUCAAUGGAGACAACCACAAUUCAAGGAAAUUUGAAUAUUAUUGAAUUUGAGAAAUUCAAUGGAGACAACCACAAUUCAAGGAAAUUUGAAUUUUAUUGAAUUUGAGAAAUUCAAUGGAGACCACCACUUUUCAAGGAGAAGAUGAAGAUGUAAAUUUACAGGAAGACCCAGUUUUAUUAUUUGUAUUUUUUUUAUUUGGGUUGUAUUUAACGUCCAUGGAACCCGACCAUUUCCAUUUUUAUAUUUAUAAAGUUGAUGAUUACUUUGUCCUGCAAGGGGUGGAGCCAGGGGAUUCAAACCCAUGAAGGAUGGGUAUUCCUUGCUAGUACCACCAGGCUAUGGCUUCUGGCUGGUUAUUUAUAUGAAGAAGGUUUAUUUCACGUUGCCCCUAAACUUUAUCCCUGGCUCCACCACAACCCUUGUUUUAGCAUGUCAUUUUAGUUAGAAAAGUGCCUACCUAUUUUUGCAUGUCAUGCAUUCAUGCGUUUAUUUUUAUUUUAUUUUAUAUAAUGUCACAGAUGACUUAAUUUAUAAUUUUAAAUUGUUUAAAAUAUAAAGGCUUAGUAAUUUAAAAUGUUUAAAUUGUCUAAGGUUUAUGAAACAAUAGUUGUUUUAUAAAUUAAAUACACCUUUUGCAAUAUAAUGAGUGGGAGCGGGUAAUAUUACAAUAUAAACCCUAGGUCUCCACCAUUAAUACAACACUGUGAGUUUUUAGUAGCGCUUAGAGACGCUUUGAUUUCGUCCUCCCUACGGAAAGUGUCUACUAAUUUCAAUAACAAGGUUGUCUUCCAUGAGAUAGGAUUUUAAGAUGUAUUUUAGAAUUGACCUACCCUACGACGGCAAUUUCUAAAUUAAAUCUUAAAAAUCUGAUAUGGUGGGUUACACUCAUAAAGAUAUAAUUAAAUUGGUUAAUUAUUUUCUUGACCGAACUUAAAGGAAAUUAAUAAGUAUUAGAAAUAUGAGAUAUUUUGGAUAAUAUUUAUUAAUUGAGAAAGUCUCAUUUUAAUUAGCAGCUUUUUGACCUACCCUACGGCGGCACUUAGUUGUGGUAAUUAAAAUUCCUUAGGCUGUUAAAGUAUAAUUUUUGGUGUAUUUUAUCAUGAGCAUUCUUGCUUCAUAUUUACUUUGCCUUUAAUUUUCUUAUGAUAUUUAUGCAAUUAUUUAUUGAAAAUAUUUCUUAUUUUUGUUCAGCAAAUAUGUCAAACCCAAUUUUCUCACUUCUCGCCUCUCAAGUUUUAACUGGUGAAAACUUUGUAAAAUGGAAGAGCAACAUGAACACUCUUCUCAUUAAUGAGAACUACCACUUUGUCCUUAAGGAGGAUUGUCCUCCAGUGCCUCCAGCUAAUGCCUCCAAGGCUGUCUCAGAAGAGUAUAAUCGUUGGAUUAUUGCAAAUAACAAGACCCGCUGCUACUUGUUAGCAGCAAUGAAUGAAGUGCUUAGAACUAAGCACGAGGGCCUUGAAACUGCAAGAGAGAUUAUGGAAUCUCUACAGCAGAUGUUUGGACGCCCCUCUGAGCAGGCCCGCCACGAAGCUGUGAAAGCUGUUAUGAACAGUAAAAUGAAGAAUGGUUCUUCAGUUCGUGAGCAUGUCCUUAAAAUGAUUCAUCACUUUAAUGAGGCUGAAAUCAAUGGAGCUAAAAUUGAUGAAAAGACCCAGGUUGGCAUGAUCUUAGAGACACUUUCACCCUCUUUCCUCCAAUUCAGGACAAACUACAUCAUGAACCAUAAGAAAUGUAAUUUGACAGAACUCCUGAAUGAGCUGCAAUCUUAUGAGACCCUUAUAGAUGAUAAGGGAGGCAAGGCAAAUAUUGUUGAGGCUAAUGCAGUUGUGGGAAAGGCUUCUUCUUCAAAGAAUAAGAAGAAGAGAAAUGUGAGAAAUCAAAAGGACAAGAAGAAGAUCCAAAAGAAGAAAGGGAAGGCUGUUGAGCCUAAACCUAAGGGGAAAUGUUUCCAUUGCAAUCAAGACAGCCAUUGGAAAAGGAACUGUAAGAAGUACCUUGAUGAGCUGAAACAAAAGAAGAAACAAGGUAAAUUAGAUUUAUUAGUAAUGGAAACAUGCUUAGUUGAGAAUGAUUUCUCAAGCUGGAUUAUUGAUUCAGGAGCAUCUAACCAUGUUUGUAUUUCUUUGAAGAUGCUUGAGUCAUCUAAGGAUCUUGAAGAGGGAGCUUUCAUGAUGAGAGUUGGCAGUGGGGCAAGAGUUUCAGCGACAGCAGUUGGGACAGUACGACUGUCAUUUGCUAAUAAUAAAUAUUUGUUAUUGCACAAUGUUUAUUUUAUUCCGGAUUUCAAAUGGAAUUUGAUUUCGGUUUCAAAGUUACAUGAACAAUUUAUUUCCGUUUCUUUUGAUAUUGACUCUGUUUCAAUCUAUAAGAAUGGAAUGAAUAUUUGUUCAGGUUAUGUUGAUAAUGGUAUAUAUUNNNNNNNNNNNNNNNNNNNNNNNNNNNNNNNNNNNNNNNNNNNNNNNNNNNNNNNNNNNNNNNNNNNNNNNNNNNNNNNNNNNNNNNNNNNNNNNNNNNNNNNNNNNNNNNNNNNNNNNNNNNNNNNNNNAAAUGGAAUAUUAUCACAGCUCACGGCACCUGGGACACCUCAGCAAAAUGGUGUAGCCGAAAGAAGAAAUCGCACUUUGCUUGACAUGAUGAGAUCAAUGAUGAGCUAUUCUUCUCUGCCAACCUCAUUUUGGGGAUAUGCAUUACAAACGGCAGUAUAUAUUCUGAACAUAGUUCCAUCUAAGUCAAUCCCUAACACUCCCCUAGAGUUAUGGAAUGGUCGCAAACCUAGUUUGAGACAUAUUCGCAUAUGGGGGUGCCCUGCGCACGUGUUAAAGGGAAAGACUGGGAAACUAGAACCUCGCUCUGAGGUAUGCAUGUUUGUAGGAUAUCCUAAAGGAACAAGAGGAGGUAUGUUUUAUAGCGCUCAGGAUAACAAAGUAUUUGUGUCAACAAAUGCUACGUUUCUCGAGUAUAACUAUAUGGCAGAUUUUAAACCUAGAAGUAAAGUAGUUCUAGAAGAGUUGCUAGCUGAUGAGAUCAGCCCCAUGCCAACAACAGUUGUUGAACGACAAAGAAAAGAAACCACUGCUCAAGAUCUAACACCACCGCCACCACGACGUAGUGGGAGGGAAAUAAGAUUGCCCAUUCGCUAUCGUGAAAAUGGAGAAGCACAAGUUGCAGUCACUGAUGGCAGUGAUGAUGAUCCAUUGACAUUCAAAAUGGCGAUGGAUGAUGUUGAUCGAGAGAAAUGGUAGGAAGCCAUGAAACUCGAAAUAGAGUCUAUGUACUCAAAUUCAGUCUGGGAACUUGUAGAUCUACCAGAAGGCAUUAAGCCUAUUGGUUGCAAAUGGAUCUAUAAGAGAAAAAGAAGACCUAAUGGGAAAGUAGAGACUUUCAAGGCAAGGCUGGUGGCAAAGGGUUUUACCCAAAAGGAAUGAGUAGACUAUGAUGAUACUUUUUCACCAGUUGCCAUGCUAAAAUCCAUUAGGAUUCUCUUGUCCAUUGCUGCUUAUUAUGAUUAUGAGAUAUGGCAAAUGGACGUCAAGACAGCAUUUUUGAAUGGCCAUCUUGAAGAGACUAUUUAUAUGGUCCAACCAGAGGGUUUCGUGGUCAAAGACCAAGAGUAGAAAGUGUGCAAACUACAAAGGUCCAUUUAUGGACUUAAGCAAGCUUCUAGAUCUUGGAAUAUCAGAUUUAACGAAGCCAUAAAGUCUUAUGGUUUUGAACAAAAUCUGGGUGAACCUUGUGUCUAUAAGCAAAUAGGAGGAGAUAAAGUGGUUUUCUUAGUUCUUUAUGUGGAUGACAUUCUACUCAUUGGAAAUGAUGUAGAAUCUCUAUCCAAGGUAAAGAACUAGCUAGCCAGCCAAUUCCAAAUGAAGGAUUUGGGAGAGGCAAGCUACAUUCUUGGUAUCCAAAUGACUAGGGAUCGUAAGAAUAGGCUUCUGGCAUUGUCUCAGGCAGCAUACAUUGACAAGGUGCUUGUCAAGUUUGCAAUGGAGAACUCUAAGAAAGGGAAUUUGCCUUCUCGACAUGAAGUCCAUCUCUCUAAAGAGCAGUGUCCAAAAACACCACAAGAUGAGGAGAAAAUGAGACGAGUUCCCUACGCAUUAGCAGUUGGUAGUUUGAUGUAUGCAAUGUUGUGUACAAGACCUGACAUAUGCUUUGCAGUGGGAGUGGUUAGUCGAUACCAGUCAAACCCAGGAUUAGAUCACUGGGUAGCAGUCAAGCAUAUACUUAAAUAUCUGAGAAGGACAAGAAACUAUAUGUUGGUAUACUCUGGUAGGGAAUUGAUUCCUAUCGGAUAUACAGAUUCUGAUUUCCAAUCAGAUAGAGACUCUCGGAAGUCUACUUCUGGGGCCGUUUUCACUUUGGGAGGUGGAGCCAUUAUAUGGAGGAGUGUCAAGCAAACUUGUGUUGCUGAUUCAACCAUGGAGGCUGAAUAUGUAGCGGCUUGUGAAGCAGCUAAAGAAGCAGUCUGGCUUCGCGAAUUCUUGAAAGAACUGGAAGUUGUUCCAAAUAUGCAUGAGCCAAUUAGACUCUAUUGUGAUAAUAGUGGAGCAGUGGCUAAUGCCAAAGAACCCAGGAACCAUCGCAAAGGAAAACACAUAGAACGGAAAUUCCACCUGGUAAGAGAGACUGUCAGUAGAGGAGAUGUUUCAGUUGAAAAGAUCGCAUCUGCGAACAACAUAGCUGAUCCAUUCACUAAGACUUUACCAGCUCAGACUUUUGAGCAACAUCUUGAAGGGAUGGGACUUAGAGACAUGUCACAUUUGCUUUAGGGCAAGUGGGAGAUUGUUGGAAUAUGUGCCCAUAAACAAAUGAGAUGUUUUUUAUUUUGCUGAUUAUUAAUAUUUUUUAAGGAAUUAUUUCAAUAUUAUUGUUGCAUGCAUGUUAUAGAUGCUUUAUAAAUAUCGAAAACCCUAGAUUAUUUAAUUGAAACUUUAAAUAUUGUAUAUAAGUGUUAUAUACAAGAGGAUAAUAUUUAAAAUAAAAUAAUCUAAUAUGUUCGUAAUUAAAAAUUAAAGUUGGAAUCUUUAAUUUAAAAUUACUAGCGCGGUUCAUUACAUUCUGAAUGAAAUGAUCUUAUCCGGAUUGUUAAUAAUGAGAUUAUUGGAAUGAAAGCGCUUUAUAUAAUUUGAUUAUAUAGGACUGGAACACGAUUAAUUAUGAAUCUCUGAUAAAUUCCGUUAUAAUAUAGAGCAUUCAAUAUUAAUCAAUGAUGGUCAUAUAUGCAUUGAUCUUAAUUCUGAGUGAUUAAUAGACUCCUAUUUAUUCUAUUGUAUUUUUUGACAUACCGGGUAAUGACACAAAUACAUAGUGUCAAAUUCUUGGUGUAUUGGAAGUAUAAUAAAAUAAAUAGCCGGGAAUAUUAAUAUACAAGAUGAAAUCCAUUCCUUCGUUAAGAAGUCAGAUGGACGGUUCCCAUAAGUAUUGGUUCGGGCCUUGAAUGAUAAGAGCGCUCAAUUUAUGAUUAGACCAUAAAUAUAUUAUUCAUUAGAGAACCAAUGGUACUUAAGGAGAAAGAUAUAAUUAAAGAGGUUAACGGAAAAACCUAGCUUUAAUUAUGAACCGUUUAUGGAGGACUGACUCAUAUGUAGUAACUAUAUCAAUGGGCAAUUCAAAUCCUUUGAAUAUAUUUAAUUUUAUAAUUUUAAGAGUGCAAUUCCAAAUUUUUAGUGGAGUAAUUUUGGAAUUAAUAAUUUUGAUUUUUUAAUUAAGUUGUUAAUUAAUUGUCAAAAUUAUUGGAAGCUUAAAAUUUAAAUGUCCAUAGUUCCUCUCAACGGCUCCAUUAAAAUUAUAUGAANNNNNNNNNNNNNNNNNNNNNNNNNNNNNNNNNNNNNNNNNNNNNNNNNNNNNNNNNNNNNNNNNNNNNNNNNNNNNNNNNNNNNNNNNNNNNNNNNNNNUAAAUAUAUUAUUCAUUAGAGAACCAAUGGCACUUAAGGAGAAAGAUAUAAUUAAAGAGGUUAACGGAAAAACCUAGCUUUAAUUAUGAACCGUUUAUGGAGGAUUGACUCAUAUGUAGUGACUAUAUCAAUGGGCAAUUCAAAUCCUUUGAAUAUAUUUAAUUUUAUAAUUUUAAGAGUGCAAUUCCAAAUUUUUAGUGGAGUAAUUUUGGAAUUAAUAAUUUUGAUUUUUUAAUUAAGUUGUUAAUUAAUUGUCAAAAUUAUUGGAGCUUAAAAUUAUAAUGUCCAUAGUUCCUCUCAACGGCUCCAUUAAAAUUAUAUGAACAUUUUUUUAUGUUGGGUUGAUUUUAUUAGUUUGGAAUUUUAAAUUCUAAAUUAAUUUCACACAAUCUUGAUUUGAUUUAUUUAUUUUAUAAUUUGAUUAUUUAAAAUAUUUUUUGAUACAAUGUGGUGAAGACCACACUUACUUGUAUUCCCUAAGAAACACCUUUUGAGUGGGGAUCAUGGGGAGAGAUAUUCUCUCCCAUGUUUUUCAAAAUUCAAAGAAACACUUUUUAAGUGGGGAUCAUGGGGAGAGAUAUUCUCUCCCAUGUUUUUCAAAAUUCAAAACAUGUCAGUUAUUUUUUUUUUUUUCGUGGUAUUAAAAAAUUUUUUUUUUCUCAAUGUUUCUCGGAUGAUGGGAUGAGAAUACAAGUUUUCAAUAUAUAUUAAGUUGUGUGAGAAAAAAAAACCGAAGAAUGAAAAACGCCCACUCGUUUUGAGUUCAUCAUAAUUUGGAGAACGUUAGAGAAAGAUCCAUGGUGCUUUAGAGGAUUUGGAAUUCUAAGAUCCUUUUGGUGAAGUUCAAAUUUAUCAGCCUAAUCGCAAGGUACAAUUCUAAUUUACCUAUAUUUGUUAUUUCAUUAAAUUAAUACAAGUAUUGAUCAUUGAGAAAAAAUUUUGAGAAAAUUUUUUUGGUUUCCGUUUUUUUCUUUUAUUUAUCUGGUUUCAAAACCAACAAUUUUUGUGUUUUAGGUUUUGUGUAUAUAUAUUCAUUCUUAAUCAAUAGAAAAUUCAAGCCAUUGUUUCUCAAUGAUCCUUUCUCUGCUUCAACAGUUUUCUCCCUGGAGCAUGACCUUAAUGGAACUAGCUAGAUUUUAUCUUGCAAGGGAACAACAGGUACUGGACUAGUGGCGUCCGGGAUGGGCAGGUUUUCAGCCUGCUUCCUGAAAUGCUUUUAGACAAUAUAUUGAAAUACAAUUAUUCCUUUAGUAAGGAUGAGAGCUAUUUCAAUUACUCUCUCUAUAAUUCUUCCAUUAUAAGCAGAGUGGUCCUGGAUGUGUCAGGGCAGAUUAAGCAAAUGACAUGGAUUGAAGACACUCAUCAAUGGAAAUUGUUUUGGUCUCAACCCAGAAGACAAUGUCAGGUUUAUGCUUACUGUGGGCCUUCUAGAAUCUGCAAUCUGGAUUCCUAUGAGUAUUGUGAAUAUUUGCCUGGCUUUGAACCUCGCUCCCCCGGAAACUGGGAAUUGCAAGACAGAUCUGGAGGGUAUGUGAGGAAAGCAGAUUUGCAGUGUGUCAAUGGAAGUCAUGGUGAUGGGGAGAGAGACCAGUUACUUUUGGUGUCUAAUGUAAGACUGCCCGAGUAUCCACUAACAUUGCAAGCAAGAGUGCCAUGGAUUGCGAGUCAGCCAGCCUGAAUAACUACUCUUGCUCUACUUAUGCUUAUGACAACGAGGAGUGUACAGUAUGGAGUGGAGAUCUUCUAAACCUGCAAUAGCUAUCAGAAUCUGACAGUAAUGCUGGAGAUUUCCAUCUCAAACUUGCUGACUCUGAGCAAAAUAGGAGAGGUAAGAAAAAGGGAAUGCUCAUACUAGUUGUUGUAGGACAUAAAGCAUAUAAAAUGGCUAUUGAUUUAGUUAAGUUAAAUGUCAUAUAUUUCCUUCUACAGUUUCAAGCAGCAAGUAGAAGCUAUGGCUCAUUGUUACACUAACCAUUUCUGUAACUUUAGCCUUUGUCACAUUUGGAAUAUGGAGAAGGCUCCAAAGAAAAGGUCAGUAUUUCUCAUGGAUAGAAGAUGACCAAGCAAUUCAAGGCUAUUUAGAUUCCAUCAACACAUACAAAACCAUUUCUUAUCUGAUAUGAAUUCAUUACCAUUGUUGUAGAAUAAUUAAGUUCAUAUUAGAGUUUCAAUCUCCUGAUUACAGUAUUGAAUUAGCUUAUUCCCAUGCCAGAAUUCCUACAUUCUUAUAGAAUUUAAUCUGUUGGUUCUUUACCAAGCAUGGGAAGAUUUGUUACUAUUUGAUUUCAGUGACAGCUCAGAAGAUACCAACCAUGAACUUAGUGAGGCAAAUAAAGGUUGGAGAGGAGAGAAGAAGGAAGUUGAUUUGCCAAUGUUUAGUUGUGCGAGUGUAUCUAUUGCUACCAAUAACUUCUCUAUUGAAAAUAAACUAGGAGAGGGAGGUUUUGGACCAGUUUAUAAGGUGAGCUUAGUAUGACUAACAGUAAUGCCUCUUAGAAAAGAAAUGUGAAAAUUUUUGCUACUGUUCUACAAUCCCUCAACCGUAAAUGCCCAUUAGGCAUACACAAAUUUUCUUUUACUUGGUGUGGUUGUUGUACUUAGUUGAAAUCCCCAUGACAUGGAAAGUCACAAAGAGGAUAUGAGGUAGCUGUGAAAAGACUUUCAAAAAGAUUUGGACAGGGUUGGGAGGAGUUAAAAAAUGAAUCCAUGCUUAUAGACAAGCUUCAACAUAAGAAUCAUGUUAGACUUUUGGGCUGCUGCAUUGAGCUAGAUGAGAAGAUACUGAUUUAUGAGUAUAUGCCCAAUAAAAGCUUAGAUUUCAUCCUUUUUGGUUUGUACUUCUCAACAUAUCUAAACUUUUGUUUAUCCUAAGCUCAAUAAAAAGCUUUUUUCAUUCAUUGUUGUUGGCCUUUUAUUUACUGACACCAGUUUGUAUUUAUUUGGUGUAAAAUUGGGAUAGAUCCUGCAUGACAUGGGAUUCUGGACUAGGAGACACGUCAUUCACAUAAUUGAAGGGGUUGCUAAGGGAUUUCUUGAUCUCCAUCAAUACUCCAGAUUGAGGAUUAUUCAUCAAGAUUUGAAGGUUAGCAACAUGUUUUUGGAUAUGGACAUGAACCCCAAAAUAUCAGAUUUUGGAAUGGCAAGAAUUUUUGGAGGGACUUGGUAAGUGAAUCCUUGCAAACUGUAAGAUACAUGGAUUCUCUCUCUCUCUCUCUCUCUCUCUCUCACACACACACACACACACACACACACACAUAUAUAUAUAUAUACAUUUUUGUCACAAGGCAGCUACUAAAUGAUUUGUUAUAAUAAUGAAAUUUAGUGGCUACAUGUCCCUUGAAUAUGCUUUGGAAGGCCUCUUUUCAACUAAAUCAGAUGUCUUUAGCUCCAGGGUUUUGUUACGGGAGAUUCUAAGAGGCAAAAAAAAAUACCAGAUUUUACCAGAGUGAUUCACUCAAUCUUCUUGGAUAUGUGAGUAACACAAUCUACAAUGUUCUAAUAUACUAAUUCUUGAUUUACUAGUCAGUAAUUUUUCACAUCUUGUUUACUAGUCAAUUUUAAGCUAAAGUUCUUUGCAUGCAAUAAAAAGGACCAUGCAUCUGUUUUUCUUUUUUGGAAAUUUGCAUCAAAAGAACAUUUUCUUUCCUUCAGGCAUGGGAUCUAUGGAAAAACAACAUAGGGCAGGACCUGAUGGAUCCAGUAUUGAAUUGGGAGGCACGGGUUCACAUCAUUCAAGGGAUGGCUCAGGGACUUCUUUAUCUCCAUUAAUACUCUAGAUUGAGAAUUAUUCAUCAAGAUUCGAAGACUAGCAACAUUCUUUUGGAUAAGAACAUGAACAAAACAUAUAGUUGGGACUUAGUAAGUGAAUCAUUAUUAUACUCAUUUUUAUGUGGAAUUUAAAGUUUUAAAAUUUUGUACAAAACAAUUUGCACUUAUAGCUUUUUAAAUAAGAAAACUAUUUUAUAUUUUUAAAAUAAAAUAAUGCAAUUGUGGCAUGUGAAGAAAUUUUUAUUUUUAUGGAUAAAUAUAUUUUACAAAUUUUAUAUCAAUUUCUUUUUUAUUUAUAUCUAUUUAUAUUUUUUUUCAAUGUUUUCAUAAUCGAAUUGGUCAUUGAAUUGAAAAAGUUACUGGUUCACGGUUCAUUGGUUGGAUUGGUGUCGAUCCGUGAUUGAAUCAGUGAUGUUAUAAAUAAGUAAUUUAUAUAUUAUUAAAAUUCAAAAUGUUAUAUAAAAUUUUUUAGAUAUAUAAAAAAAUAAAAAUCAAUAAUAUUUAUUUUUUCAUCUUUAAUAUUAUCAAAUUAACAUAUAUCAAUAAUAUAAUAUUAUCAAUAAAAAAAAUAUUAUCAAGUCCGAAUCGGUGCCUGGUCCACCAGGCUAGUGGUUUUGACCGCCUGUCCGUUGGGCUCAUGAGCGGUCGGCAUUCCGGCCUAAUUAGGCUACCUGGACUGGAUUAAGCUCCAGUUGAUGGUUGAACUGGCCAAUCCAAAACAUUGAUUUUUUUUUUUUAUCUCAAUAUUUGUAUCUUAUUUACUUCAUAUAAACUUGAAAUUAUUAAUUUAAAUAACAAUUAUCCAUUAUCCAUUUAAAACCAGUCAUCCUCACAUUUAUCUCUACACCCAAAUGCCCAUUUCCUAUUGAAAAGUGAAUAUCACAUUGGAUGCAUUGAAUUGUUGUUUCCCUACCACCACCCCUUUUAACUUCUCUUCACUUUGGCAUCACAAACUUAAGCAAUUUUUUUGGGAUGUUGAGAUGAGAUCAUGAGACAAGCGUUCAGAGGACGUGUUGAGAGUUUCUGAUAUCUUCCACGACAGCUAAGACCAUGAAUCUGAAGAGAAAGAACUGAAGAAGAGGGAGGAAAGUGAGAGUUGGUUACUCCCUUAAUUUUCAAAUUUAAAAUGGAUGAUGAAGUCUGAAGAUGUCAUAUUACACAUCCAAUGGGCCCAAUAAAUUCUUGGGUACCUACACAGACUGUUUCGUAGAAUUUUCCUAAAAGAUAUUUUGAAAGGGAGAUCGAUGGAAAGGAGACUUUUACUUACCAGUCGCCGGGCCGCCUCAGAUCCGCUACUGCCUGUUUUGGAUGGCUAUAAGAUUAUUGAUGGGCUGCGUAAACGCUUCUUAUGAGUUAUGGGUAGCAUGGAAUUUUCAACCAGAAGGUGUUCUGCUUAUCUUGUUUUCUUGCUUAUUUCUUCAGGUUUUCACUGGCAAUUUGCUGAUGCAUUUACAGAUACAAUCUUACAAGGUCAGUCAAUUACAACCUCUCAGACCAUCAUAUCUGCUGCUGGUAACUUUGAAUUAGGAUUCUUCAAGCCUGGAAACUCCACAAAUUAUUAUGUGGGGAUAUGGUACAAGAAAAUCUCAGACCAAGUCUCAGACAAAACCAUUGCCUGGGUGGCUAACCGAGAGUAUGCGUUCAAAAAUCCGUCUGUGGUCCUUACUGUCAGCACAGAUGGUAACCUCGAGAUUUUGGAAGGGAAGUUUGCCUACAAGGUGCAAGCAUAUCAUCAAAUAGAAACACAAGUGCCACCCUGUUGGAUUCUGGAAAUGUAGUUUUGAGAAAUGACAACUCAACUAUCUUAUGGCAGAGCUUUGACUAUCCAUCGCACGCUUUCUUGCCGGGGAUGAAAAUUGGAUAUGACAAAAGGGCUGGAAAAACAUGGUCAUUGACGUCAUGGAAGAGCACUGAAGAUCCCAGUCCAAGAGUUUUCUCCGUGGAGCAGGGCCCUAAUGGAACUAGCCAGAUUUUUAUCUUGCAAGGGCCAACAAGGUUCUGGACUAGUGGCAUAUGGGAUGGGCGUACUUUCAGCCUGGCUCCUGAGAUGCUCGAAGACUACAUAUUUAAUUACAGUUAUUACUCUAGUAAGGAUGAGAGCUAUUGGAGUUACUCUCUCUAUGAUUCUUCCAUUAUAAGCAGAUUGGUGCUGGAUGUGUCAGGGCAGAUUAAGCAAAGGAAAUGGCUUGAUUCCUCUCAUCAAUGGAAUUUGUUUUGGGCUCGACCAAGAACAAAAUGUGAGGUUUAUGCUUCCUGUGGGCCUUUUGGAAUCUGCCAUGAGAGUGCAGUCGAUGGAUUCUGUGAAUGUUUGCCAGGUUUUGAACCUGUCUCCCCUAAUAACUGGUACUCGGACGAAGGGUGUGAGGAAAGCAGAUUGCAGUGUGGCAAUACUACUCAUGCUAAUGGGGAGAGAGACCAGUUUCGCAAGGUGUCUAGUGUGACACUACCGAAUUAUCCACUAACACUCCCAGCGAGGAGUGCCCAGGAGUGCAAGUCAGCUUGCCUAAAUAACUGCUCUUGCUCUGCUUAUGCCUACGACAGAGAGACGUGUACAGUAUGGAGUGGAGAUCUUCUAAAUUUGCGACAGCCAUCCCAUUACAACAGUAGUGGUCAAGAUUUCUAUCUCAAACUUGCGGCCUCUGAGCUAAAUGGGAAAGGUAAUAAAAGUAGGGAAUGGUCAAACUUUUUUUGUGGAAGGACAGAGCAUAUGAUUUUCUUUUUCUUAAAUAUAAGAUGAAGUUCAUCAAAGAUUAGUUACAUUUAUUUCUUUUUGCAGUUUCAAGCAGCAAGUGGAAGGUGUGGCUAAUUGUUAUACUGGCCAUUUCCCUAACUUCAGCCUUUGUCAUUUGGGGGAUAUGGAGAAAGCUCCGAAGAAAAGGUCAGUAUUUUUCAUGGAUAGAAGAUGGCCAAGCAAUUCAAGGGUAUUUAGAUUCCAUCUACACAUACAAAACCAUUUGUUUUCUGCAAUGAGCUCAUUACCAUUGUUGUAGAAUAAUUAAGGCCAUAUUAGGAUUUCAAUCUCCUGAUUACAUGUGAGUGUGGACCUGCACUAUAGUGCGAUAAAAAUCAAUAAUGAAUCAAUUUAUUCCCAUGCCAGAAUUCCUACAUUCUUAUGAUACUUGACAGCUGUUUCGUCUUUAUCAAGCAGGGGAAAAUUUGUUACUAUUUGAUUUAAGUAACAGCUCAGAAGAUGCCAACUAUGAACUUAGUGAGGCAAAUAAACUUUGGAGAGGCGAGAACAAGGAAGUUGAUUUGCCAAUGUUCAGUUUUGUGAGUGUAUCUGCUGCUACUAAUAACUUCUCUAUUGAAAAUAAACUAGGAGAGGCGGUUUUGGACCUGUUUACAAGGUGAGAUUAGUAUCUGUGAAUUUUCUUGGUAUGUACAGAGUUUCUUUUACUUGGUGUCAUUGUACUAAGUUAAAAUUCCCAUGACAGGGAAAGUCACAAAAAGGAUACGAUGUAGCUGUGAAAAGGCUUUCAAAAAGAUCAGGAUAGGGAUGGGAGGAGUUAAAAGAAUGAAGCCAUGCUUAUAGCCAAGCUGCAACAUAAGAAUCUUGUGAAGUUGUUUGGUUGCUGCAUUGAGCAAGAUGAGAAGAUAUUGAUUUAUGAGUAUAUGCCCAACAAAAGCUUGGAUUUCUUCCUAUUUGGUUUGUAACUUCUACAUAUCUGAACUUCUUGCUACUGUGUAUUCAAUAAAAAACCAUUCAUUAUUAUUCACCACUUAUUUGCUAACAUGAGUUUGUAUUUAUUUGGUGUAAAAUGGAAAUAGAUCCUGCAAAACAUGGGAUUCUGAAUUGGAAGACAUGGGUUCACAUCAUUGAAGGGGUUGCUCAGGGUCUUCUUUAUCUGCAUCAAUACUCCAGAUUGAGGAUUAUUCAUCGAGAUUUGAAGGCUAGCAACAUUCUUCUAGAUAAGGACAUGAAUCCUAAGAUAUCAGAUUUUGGAAUGGUAAGAAUAUUUGGGAGCAACGAAUCAAAAGCAACAAAUCAUAUAGUUGGGACUUAGUAAGUGAAGCCUAACAAAUUCUAAAAUAUGUGAAUGUUCAUACAACUUUUUUUUUUUUUCUACACAUAUAUUUGAAAUCAUGCAGCUACUAAAUCGUUUUGUGAUUAAUAAUCAAAUUCAGUGGCUACAUGUCCCCUGAGUAUGCAUUGGAAGGCCUUUUUUCGACUAAAUCUGAUGUCUUUAGCUUCGGGGUCUUAUUACUAGAGAUUUUGAGUGGCAAGAAGAAUACUGAAUUUUACCAAAGUGACUCCCUCAAUCUUCUCGGAUAUGUGAGUAACACAAUAUUUCCUCACAUAACUAUUUAUGAUGUUUUGAUAUGCUAAUUCUUUGUUUUCAAUUCCCCUGUUAUAUUACCUAUUUGGUUGUCUUGGGCUAGUAAAUUUUCACAUUAUGUUUACCACUCAGUUUCAAAGCUUAUUUCAUAUCAUUGGCUACUAUAAAAAGGACUUUAUUAUCUUUUACUUUUUGGGAAUUUGCAUCAAUGGAUAAUUUUCUUUCUUUUAGGCAUGGGAUCUGUGGAAAGACAACAGGGGACAGGAGUUGAUGGAUCCAGUGUUGGAAGAGACAUUGCCAACACACAUUCUGUUGAAGUACAUCAAUAUAGGCCUUCUUUGUGUUCAAGAAAGUGCAGAUGACAGGCUUACCAUGUCUGAUGUUGUCUCAAUGCUUGGCAAUGAAAGUGUACGUUUACCCUCUCCAAAACAACCGGCAUUUUCAAAUCUGAGAAGUGGGGUGGCACCACAUAUAUUUCAAAACAGGCCUGAAAUUUGUUCCUUAAAUGGUGUGACACUUUCGAUUAUGGAAGCACGAUAAUGGUUCAGAACUUAAUAAAUAAUAUGCUUAAAUUUCAGCAUAUUGUCUUGCGUUGUUUUUGUGAAUUCAUAGCUCAUGUAUUGAAAUGGACAUGUGAUCUAUGUGUUAAUUUUUCUUCCAAAACAGUUCAAUAAUCAUUCAGACCUGUGUCUAAUAUUUUUAUCUGAAACUGUUAUGAAGUCUGAUUUUAUCCAGUUGAAUUUGGAUUUAAUUUGAUUAUGAUCUGUACCCUCAUCAAUCCAAGGAGUGAAGGACAAUUUUCAGAGCUCAAAAACCAACAAAUGGCGCAUUUAGGGCCAAUCCAUCUAUAGAGAGUCAACUAUCCACCUUCCACUUAUUCUCUUAUAUGUGUUUCCGAAUGCCCUGGCAUAUGUAUAUCUUGCACAGAUUCAAUUCUGUACUACUGUAUAUUUACUAUGAGACUGACUAAGUUCUACUGUUUUGAGAAUAGUGCAGUGUAUAUAUCUUGCCAAGAAUAUUCUAUGGAGCAUAAUUCCUUUGUGAAAUCAGAUGUUUCCAGCUAAGGAGUUGAUUGUGAAUCCUGUGACAAGAGGAACUCGAAAUAUUACCUCUCACUGAGAAUCCUGUGAAUUGAAACCUCCUUAACACCUACCAUAUGAAAAUGAAUGAUUUUUCUUUUCUUUUUUUCUGUAAUUUUAUGUAUUAGCAUGGUAAGUGAAUUCAGUUUUCACUGGGCAUCUGAAAGAAGAUAAUUUGAAACAGUUUUUGGUAUGGGGAAUGGGGUAUGAGGACAAGAUGCUGUAAUUGAUGGAUAUGUCAGUGGGGAAAGAAAUUAUCAGAACCCAGGUGUAGGUAUUAACUUAGCUAUAAUGGGGGAAGGGAGUGAACAGAAGCAGGGUUAGCUUCAAUUUCAGAUUCAUAUCAUACAGUGCUUCAUUCAACUAGUAAUAGCGAAGACAAUUCAGCUACUCAGCAUAGGAGGGAGGAAUUAGUUAAGCAGUUGUAGAUUUUUCGCCUUCCAAAUCCAAAGUGAUCAGACAAUUUUCCAGAAAAAAAAAAAGUGGUAUAACGUUCCCUGUGACUUAUAACACUUCCCAUUUGUUUGGACAUAGUUUGAAUAAAACCCCUUUGGUUGCCAAGAAAACCAAGGAAAAUGCAAAAGAGAAAUAACUUGAAGUCUACAAUUUCUGUAGUUUAUGAUGGAAAGCUCAAGUUCAAGCUCAAGUAAGGCUAAACGAGCCCAUUGACCCUCUCUCAUCUCUACAACAUAGACUUCAAAAGCAAAAUGGGUAAAAUAAUGGUCAUUUAAGGGGCCCUGCGCUUGGCUUGGGAAUCAGUUUCAUUGAAUAUUUUAGGAGAGAUAACAUAUAGCAAGUCAAAAAGUAGAUAAGUACAAACUAAUUUUGCCGUCCAGCAUAGAAAAUCUAAUCCCAGUGGGGCCUUAAGUACAUGAAUUUAGUGUUCUUUCCAUCAUUCUUCUCAUUCUGGUCAUGGUCUAGAUUGAAGAAAGGUCCGAUACAAAUUGGAAAAGUCAUAGAAGGAAAUAUAUCUAGAAGGGAAUCCUAACAAAAGGUCUUUCAAAACUGCUACACCUUGCUUUGCAUCGUAGUUGGUCUCUGCAUUGAAUGAGUCUUUUUUUUUCCUAUGUCCCCUGGAGACAGAAAAUCUGAAAACAUUUCUAAAUGGUUUUCCAAAAUACAGUGCAUGGGAGGUUCCAGGACUUUGAGGGAAAGGAAAGCAGCAGAACCAGCUGGGGAAAAUCAGGUAUCUGAUUUCUUCUAUUAAUUCAUCAGCAUGAAAAGGAUCAUUUCCUGCCACUCUAAUGUUGUUUAAUCUAUUCAACCACGGAAAUUAGGGAAGACUUUGACGAAAAUGAUGCGCGGUCAAGUUCUGCUACCUGCUACAUUGAAUUAUGCUUAUCUAGGGAAGAUGCAUUGAAGUCUUAGAGCAUUUGAGAUUUUUUUUUUCUUUUUUUCUCUUAAGACACAAUUAAUUGUCCAUAAAUUAAUAGCUUGGGAACAAGGAAAAUCAAUUAAUUAAGUGAAUAUUAAUUGCUUAUUAAUUAAUAAAUCAUUAAUUUAUCAAGAUAGUUCUUAUUUUUUCAAAAUAUUGUAUUCAAUAUUAUUUAUUAUAAUUGUUAGGAAGUGUCCCAAUUUCCUAAUUAGUAUAAAUUUAUUUUUUGUAAAGAAUAUUAUAUGAAUGUUUUUAGGUUAAUAUAUUAUUGUAAUAUUAGAUUUUCUUAUAGGGUAAGGAAGGUUGUUGGAAAUAUCUUUGUACAUAUUCUAGGUCAUGAGGAGAAAAAGUUAUGAGAUGGAAAUGACCAUGUAAAGAUUAUACGGGGUAAAUAGAGAUGUGAGAAAGAACGGGAGGUACUCGGUGGAGCGAGAUGACUUGUGGUAGGGUAGGGAUACGAAGAGUAGGAAAACAGGAGAUGUUUUAAGAACCCAAUAAUUGUAUCUGGUUAUGUCCUCUAUAAUGUUUUGGUUCUAUCCUUUGUAAUGUUCUCUAUUGUAUAAUGAAAUGAUUCUCUCUCAUCUGUGGACGCAGACAUGGUUGGUCGGAUGUGAUGAGGGAGCAGCAACACCACUCUUCAUCUCUGAACUAGACUGUGAUGUAGACUUUGGUAUGGAUCUUGACCCCAACUCAACCUCCACCUGUGUGCUUGAUUUUUAUUGCUCUUUAUCACAAGAAUAUCUAAAAGAUGAGUCAUGAAGCAUAGUAGUUUCAUAAAAAAUAACAUCUCUAUUGACCAUGACUUUCUUGGUUUUUAAACACCAUAACUUAUAUCCUUUAACACUAGACUUAUAGCCAAGGAAGACACAUUUUAUAGACCUAGGUUCUAGCUUUCCAUUAUCAACAUGAGUAUAGGCAGGACAUCUAAAUACCUUCAAAUCAGGGUAACUAGCAGGAGUACCAGACCAUACCUCUUGUGGAGUUCUUUUGUUAGUAGUAGUUGAGGGAUAACGAUGAAUGAGGAAACAAGAUGUAGCUUUAGUCCAAAAAGACUUAGGUAAACCAACAAUGGAAAGCAUAUAAUGUACUUUCUCCAUCAAAGUCCUAUUCAUUUGCUUUGCCACACCGUUUUGCUGUGGGGUAUGACGAACUGUAUGAUGCCUCGCGAUUUCUUCUGACUUGCAUAGAACAUUAAAUUCAUAAGAACAAAACUCCAAGCCAUUAUCAGUGCGAAGACGUUUUACCUGCUUCCAUGUCUGCUUCUCAAUCAUAAUUGUCCACUCCUUGAAUGUAGCUAACAUAUCACUCUUUUUCUUCAAGAAGAACACCCAAACUUUUCUGGAAAAAAUCAUCAAUGAUAGUUAACAUAUAACUAACACAUCCCUUAGAAGGCACCCUAGAUGGUCCCCGAAGAUUAGAAUGUAUAUAAUUGAGUGUCCUCUUUGUGUUGUGAAUGCCUUUUGUGAAUUUGACUCUUCUCUGCUUCCCAAAAACGCAGUGCUCAUAGAACUUUAGUUUUCUAAUACUCUAACCAUUAAGAAGUCCUCUUUUGCUCAAUUCAAUCAUCCCAUUCUCACUCAUAUGCCUAAGGCGCAUAUGCCAAAGUCUAGUAACAUCACCAUCUAAUAAGGAAGAAGUAGCAACAACUACAUCACUUAUAACUGUGGAUCCCUACAAGACAUAUAAUUUGGUAGAUCUUUUCUGCCAUUUCAUCACAACAAGAACACAUUUACUAACCUUUAAGACUCCACCUUCACCAGUAUACUUGUACCCUUUUGAAUCAAGAGUACUCAAUGAGAUAAAGUUCCUCUUUAGAUUUGGAAUGUGUCUCAUAUCACCAAACAUAGAUGGACAUUCAAGAAUAAAGAUUAGAAUUAGAUUUGAACCCAAACAUCAUUUAAAUCAGAGAUUGUAUAGGUCAUUAUAGAAGAUUAUUAUUAAAUUUGGCCCGAAAAAUAAAUCUUUUACAUUUUACUCCCUACUAUAAGUGACCUACCACCAGCCUAAAAAGAAGAAAUGUGGGCCUAAUGAGGGUUUUUUUUUUUUUUUUGAUAUUUUCCAUUUAUAUAACUAACUUGAACAAUGGUGUACCCUUAAAAGUAGAAAAGAUCCAUGUAGUAUUCUUCGGUUUAUUAUGGUUAUGUUUGGUUAUGAGAAAAUUUAAAGGAAAAUGUGAAGAAAAGAAAAUAAAAAAGAAAAAUAAAAAGAAAGAAAAUUAAAAAUGGGUUUAAAUUCAAUGAAUUAUUUUUAUAUGCUUCUCCAAACUCAUUUCACUUUUUUUUUUCAUUAUAAUAAGAUUAAAUAAUUUAAAAAUAUAUAAAAUUUUAACUAAUUUUAUUUUAUUUUGUAUUUUUUCAUAAUGAAACUAAAUAUAAGAAAACUAUUUUUCUUAACUUUUUUUUUCUUAAUAUUUUCCAAGAGACUAAAUAUAGCCUAGAUGUAUCUAGUAGAAAGAUCCAACAUGGGGUUGGAAAAAAAUCAUAGAAGAAGAUAUAUCUUGAAGGGGAGAUCAAAGGAUAUUAAAUGGGACUAUGACCCACACCUGAGAUUUAUGGGCUGCUUAAUGGAACAAACCAGAUUUUUAUCCACCAUAUUGAAUAUUGAAUAUGGUAUUCUUCCAAUUAUUAAAUGUAUUCAGCGAAAAGGUCCAAUUGUUAGUAAAAGAAGAACAGGUCAAACUAUCGUACUAGGGUGCUAUGAGUGAGAUUGUGAUUACAUCAACUUUUAAUUAUUUAGAAUAUUGUCCAUUAUAUAUUUUAAUUUUUUAUAAUAUUAAUUUAUUUUAUUGAUUAAGAAUUAUAAUUUAAUGUAUACUUAACAUUAAAAUCUUAUAUAGUUCCAAUUUCAUACAAGUAACUAAAUUUUUUAUAUUGAUCUCAUCUCUGCACCCAAAUGCCCAUUUCCUCUUGAAGAUUAAAAAUUAAAAAUAAAAAUUAAUCCAUCUAACAACCAAGUUAAAAUGUAUUUAUAUAUCAUAAAAAAAAAAAAUCAUCACCGAAUAAACCAAUAACCAUAAAAAUAAAAAUGGAAAAUCAUCUAUAAAUAAAUCAAAACAAAAUAUAAAAAGAAAAUAAUAUUUUCAUGGUUGAUUAACCCUAUGAGUUGGAUGAUAAAAGCGUUAAUAUCGAGUUGGAGGCAAAACCAAUAACCAUCGGAAGAUAUUCUUCGAUUGCUACCACACGGUGCUGUAGAAUUUUCCAAAAGGGAGGCCAGUGUAAAGGAGACGUGCAAGAUGUUCUUCUAUUGCUUCCACACAGUGGUGUCGAAUUUUCCUAGAAGAUAUAUUGAAAGGGAGAUCAGUGGAAAGGAGACUUUGACUCACCGGUCGUUGGGCCUCAGGUCCGCCACUGCCUGUUUUGGAUGACUAUAAAACUAUUGAUGGGCUGCUUAAACGCUGCUUAUGAGUUAUGGUUAACAUGAAAAUUUCAACCAGAAGGUGGUCUGCUAAUCUUGUUUUCUUGCUUAUUUCUUCAGGUUUUCACUGGCAAUUUGUUGAUGCAUUUACAGAUACAAUCUUACAAGGUCAAUCAAUCACAACCUCUCAGACCAUCAUCUCUGCUGGAGGUAACUUUGAAUUAGGAUUCUUUUCUCCUGGAAAGUCCACAAAAUACUAUGUGGGGAUAUGGUACAAGAAAAUCUUAGAGCAAACCAUUGUGUGGGUAGCUAACCGAGACUAUUCAUUCACAAAUCCGUCCGUGAUUCUCACUGUCAGCACAGAUGGCAACCUCGAGAUUUUGGAGGGGAAGUUUUCGUACAAGGUGACAAGCAUAUCAUCAAACAGCAACACUAGUGCCACCCUGUUGGAUUCUGGAAAUCUUGUUUUGAGGAAUGGCAACUCAGAUAUCUUAUGGGAGAGCUUUGACUAUCCAACGGACACACUCCUGCCCGGAAUGAAAAUCGGACAUGACAAAAGGUCUGGAAAAACAUGGUCAUUGGUGUCAUGGAAGAGCGCAGAAGAUCCCGGUCCAGGAGAUUUCUCCGUGCAGGUCGACCCUAAUGGAACUAGACAGAUUUUUAGCCUGCAAGGACCCAACAGGUAUUGGACUACUGGGGUGUGGGAUGGGCAGAUUUUCAGCCAGAUUCCUGAGUUGCGUUUCUACUACUUUUAUAAGUACAAUACAUCCUUUAAUGAGAAUGAAAGCUAUUUCACUUACUCUUUUCAUGAUCCCUCCAUUCUGAGCAGAGUGGUGGUAGAUGUGUCAGGCCAGGUUAGGAAACUGAAAUGGCAUGAAGGCACACAUGAAUGGCAUUUAUUUUGGCUUCAACCAAAAAUACAGUGUGAGAUUUAUGCUUACUGUGGGCCUUUUGGAACCUGCACUCGGGAUUCUGUUGAAUUUUGUGAAUGCUUACCAGGUUUUGAACCUCGCUUCCCUGAAGACUGGAAUCUGCAAGACAGAUCUGGAGGGUGUGUGAGGAAAGAAGAUUUGCAGUGUGUCAAUGAAAGCCAUGCUAAUGGGGAGCGAGACCAGUUUCUUUUGGUGUCUAACGUGAGACUGCCCAAGUAUCCAGUAACACUGCAAGCAAGGACUGCUAUGGAGUGCGAAUCAAUUUGCCUGAAUCGCUGCUCUUGCUCUGCUUAUGCUUACGAGGGAGAGUGUAGAAUAUGGGGUGGAGAUCUUGUAAACGUGGAGCAGCUACCAGAUGGUGACAGUAAUGCUAGAAGUUUCUACAUCAAACUUGCUGCCUCUGAGCUAAAUAAGAGAGGUAAGAAAAAAGAGUCAUAGUUGUUAUUGUAGGAGGACAUAGAGCAUAUGGGUCUUGUUUUAUUUUCAAUAUAAAAUGGCCAUGGAUUCAGCUAAAUUUAAUAUGAUAUAUUUCCUUCUACAGUUUCAACCAGCAAGUGGAAGGUAUGGUUAAUUGUCACACUGGCCAUAUCUUUAACUUCAGUAUUUGUCAAUUAUGGGAUAUGGCGAAGGUUCCGAAGAAAAGGUCAGUAUUUCUCAUGGACAGAAGGAUGGCCAAGCAGUUCAACAGUUUUUAGGUUCCAUCUGCAAAUACAAAGCCAGUUCUUUUUUUAAAAUGAGUUCAUUACCACUGUUAUUGAAUAAUUAAGGUAACAUUAGGAUUUCAUGUUCUGAUUACAUGUGAGUGUGUAUGUGGAAUCCAAUGUGAGAAAUAAUUUAUUCCCAUGCCGGAAUUCCUACAUUCUUAUGAUAUUUAAUGUCUGUUUGUUCUUUACCAAGCAGGGGAAGAUUUGUUAGUAUUUGAUUUCGGUAACAGCUCAGAAGAUACCAACUGCUAUGAGCUUGGCGAGACAAAUAGACUUUGGAGGGACGAGAAGAAGGAAGUUGAUUUGCCCAUGUUCAGUUUUGCGAGUGUAUCUGCUUCUACAAAUAACUUCUGUAUUGAAAAUAAACUAGGAGAGGGCGGUUUUGGAUCUGUUUACAAGGUGAGAUUAUAACCCCUGACAAUAAUGUUCUACAAUUUGUCCUGGAAUGUAAAGGCCUACUUGAUAUAUACCAAAUUUCUUUUACUUGGUGUAAUUGUAGUCUGUUGAAAUUCCCAUGACAGGGAAAGUCACAAAGAGGAUAUGAGGUAGCUGUGAAAAGGCUCUCAAAAAGAUCUAAACAGGGAUGGGAGGAGUUAAAAAAUGAAGCCAUGCUUAUAGCCAAGUUGCAACACAAGAAUCUUGUGAAAGUUUUGGGAUACUGCAUCGAGCGGGAUGAGAAGAUAUUGAUUUAUGAGUAUAUGUCCAACAAAAGCUUGGAUUUCUUCCUCUUUGGUUUGUAACUUCCACAUACAUAUGCUUCCAGCUACUGUAUAUUCAAUGAGAACUUUAUACAUUCAUCAUUCUUCACCACUUACUUGCUAACAUCUAUUUUUUUGGUGUAAAAUGGAAAUAGAUCCUGCAAAACGCGGGAUUCUGAAUUGGGAGACGCGAGUUCACAUCAUUGAAGGGGUUGCUCAGGGACUUCUUUAUCUCCAUCAGUACUCCAGAUUGAGAGUUAUUCAUCGAGAUUUGAAGGCUAGCAACAUUCUUCUGGAUAAAGACAUGAACCCUAAAAUAUCAGAUUUUGGAAUGGCAAGAAUUUUUGGAGGAAAUGAAUCAAAAGCAACAAAACAUAUAGUUGGGACUUAGUAAGUGAAUCCUAACGCAUUGUAAAAUAUGUGGACUGUCUCAUAACAUGCUUUUUUUCUACAUAUAUAUUUGUAAUCAUGCAAUUACUAAAUGAAUUGUUUUAAUAAUGAAUCCAGUGGCUACAUGUCCCCCGAGUAUGUUUUGCGAGGUCUCUUUUCAACUAAAUCUGAUGUUUUUAGCUUCGGGGUCUUGUUAUUAGAGAUUCUAAGUGGCAAGAAGAUUACUGAAUUUUAUCAUAGUGACUCGCUCAAUCUUCUUGGAUAUGUAAGUAACACAAAUUUCCUCUUAUGUAGCUAAAGUUAUCAUGUUUACUACUAUAUUUCAAGCUUUAAGUUACAUACUUGAAUGCAAUUGACCGAAUUAGGACUAUAUAUCUUUUUUUCUUUUUUCGGGAAUGUGCAUCAAAGUAUAAUUUUCUUUCCUUUAGGCAUGGGAUCUGUGGAAAAGCAACAGAGGACAAGAGUUGAUUGAUCCAGUAUUGAAUGAGAUAUCUUUGAGACAUAUUCUGUUAAGGUACAUCAAUGUAGCCCUUCUUUGUGUUCAAGAAAGUGCAGAUGAUAGGCCCACCAUGUCCGAUGUUGUCUCCAUGCUUGUCAAGGAAAAUGUACUUUUAUCUUCUCCAAAUGAGCCGGCCUUCUUAAAUCUAUCGAGUAUGAAACCACAUGCAUCUCAAGAUAGGCUUGAAAUUUGUUCCUUAAAUGAUGUAACACUUUCAAGCAUGGGAGCACGAUAAGUGUUCUAAAUUUCAGAUUGCAUAUGCUUAAAUGUCUUCAGCAUAUUGUCUAGUAUUAUUAUUGGCCAUCAAGUGGAUUGUUGAUGUACUGAACGUGUGAACUUUUGUAUGUAUUUUUCUUUCAAUGCAGUUCAAUAAUGUGCUUAAUUUUACUCAAUCCUCAAGGAUUCAGACCUGUAUCUCAUCUUCCCAUCUGUAAUUGCUACUGAAUCUGCUUUUAUGCAUUGCCAAUCCAGACACUAAAAUACAACCCUCAGAGCUUACUGCAAAUGUUCAACUAGUGCUAGGAAAGACGAGCUUUUGCGCAUGCUACAGCUAAGCAUAAGUACUAAUUAACAUAUAGGCAAGAGGGAAAGUGAGGAAGGAAAGCAGCUAUAGAUUUUUUUGCCUUUUAAACUGUGAUAGCAUCUAGCAUUUUUUUUAAGAGAAGAAAUAGUAUAAUUUAAUUGAGUACUCGUAAAACCUUCUUUUCUUAUUGGACAUGGUUUCAAUAAAACCCAUUUGGUUGCCAAGAAAUCUGAGGAAAUUCAGGAUGUGGAUGGGGAAUUUGAAGUCUACCUUCGUCCCUAUAGCUUAAAAUGAAAAGGCAUAGUUACAAACUAAGCUUACAUUCUGGCAGAAACGUAUAUAUUCCCUAUUGGGGCUUGCAGUAGGAGAUUGACCUGGAAGCCAACCAGAAAAGACAUGCAUCUAUGAUUAAAAGGAGCUCAUGCUCACAAGAAACUUUCUCUCUAUCCAAUGUGGGAUAUGACACCCUGAAGUAUGAAUAUCACUACUUACUAUUGCUAGCUAUGGACAAGGAAAAAAAAACAAGAGAAGGAAAAAAAACGAAAGGAGGAAUAAGCAAAAUGAUGUCCAAGGAUUCAAAAUUGUUUACAGUAAUUGGCCAGAAGCUAGAUCAAUUUCAUGAAAAUAUUUAAUUCCCCAAAAUUAAGAGUAAGUUUUUCCCAACAAAAUUGUUAUUUUUUUAAUUCCCUUAAUCCUAUGGGUUCAAGAACAAGCCGAGUCCAGUACGACUCGGCCGAGUCGGAUAGACUCAUACUCAAUCAGGAAUCGCUUAAACUCGGUUAACUCAACGGAGAUUCCGAGUUGACUCGGUUGAACCGUUCGUGUUAACAAAAGAAAUCGUUUUUUCACUUUCGAAUCUCAGCAGAGGAACAACAAACGAGAUGUAAACCUAAAAAACCUCUGAAAAAUCAAAGAUUGUCUUCAAAAGGAAAAGUUUCUCAACAACCAUGAUGAAGAGGAAGAAAGACAUCAGUCUAACCCAUGACUGAGUCUUGGAGGUGCACAAGAAGAAGAGGUUGAGGUAUUACUAACUUCAGAACAAUCAUGGAUGUGGAGCGCCUUCGAUGGUCCCGGUGUGGUAACUGGUGUGAUGAGAAGAUUCCCUCCAUUGACGUGAGCGGCCAUCGCUGCAUCUGGUCUCUCCUCUCUCUAAUUUUGGUCUCAGUUCUCGCCUGCUUCUGUCUGCCUCCCUCCCUCCCUCUCUCUCUCUCUCUCUCCCUGGUACGGGUGAGUUAGUGAUUUGAAGAAAGGGUGGCAAUCGGUGCCAGAAAAUUGGGGAUUUGAAGACAGGGUGGUCAAUGUUUUAAUAUCAAAAUUAUUUAUAAUUGUAUAUGUUAAUAUUAG